GAUGAACGCUAGCGACAGGCUUAACACAUGCAAGUCGAGGGGUAACAGGGUAGCAAUACCGCUGACGACCGGCGCACGGGUGAGUAACGCGUAUGCAACCUGCCUAUAACUGGGGAAUAGCUCCCUGAAAGGGGAAUUAACACCGCAUAACACUAUUGAUUCGCAUGGAUUGGUAGUUAAAUGUAGCGAUACAGGUUAUAGAUGGGCAUGCGUGACAUUAGCUAGUUGGUGAGGUAACGGCUCACCAAGGCUACGAUGUCUAGGGGUUCUGAGAGGAAGGUCCCCCACACUGGUACUGAGACACGGACCAGACUCCUACGGGAGGCAGCAGUGAGGAAUAUUGGUCAAUGGGCGCAAGCCUGAACCAGCCAUGUCGCGUGCAGGAAGACUGCCCUAUGGGUUGUAAACUGCUUUUAUAGUAGAAGAAACACAUCUACGUGUAGAUGUCUGCCAGUAUACUAUGAAUAAGCAUCGGCUAA
rnacentral:rRNA from 1 species